UACGUAGGGGGCGAGCGUUGUCCGGAGUUACUGGGCGUAAAGGGCAUGCAGGCGGUCCGACACGUUUUGUGUGACAGCGGGUGGCUUAACUACCCGAGGAUACGAAAGACGGUUGGACUUGAGGACUCGAGAGGGACACGGAAUUCCGGGUGGAGUGGUGAAAUGCGUAGAGAUCGGGAAGAACAUCAGUGGCGAAGGCGGCCUGCUGGGCUGUUGCUGACGCUGAGGCGCGGACAGCGUGGGGAGCAAACAGGG
rnacentral:rRNA from 1 species